rnacentral:rRNA from 1 species
CAUGCAAGUCGAGCGCGAAAGCACUUCGGUGUGAGUAGAGCGGCGGACGGGUGAGUAACGCGUAGGAAUCUACCUGGUAGUGGGGGACAACUUGUGGAAACGCAAGCUAAUACCGCAUACGACCUAAGGGUGAAAGUGGGGGACCUUCGGGCCUCACGCUAUCAGAUGAGCCUGCGUAGGAUUAGCUAGUUGGUGGGGUAAAGGCUCACCAAGGCGACGAUCCUUAGCUGGUCUGAGAGGAUGAUCAGCCACACUGGAACUGAGACACGGUCCAGACUCCUACGGGAGGCAGCAGUGGGGAAUAUUGCGCAAUGGGCGAAAGCCUGACGCAGCCAUGCCGCGUGUGUGAAGAAGGCCUUAGGGUUGUAAAGCACUUUCAAUUGGGAAGAAAAGCUAAACGUUAAUAGCGUUUAGCCCUGACAUUACCUUUAGAAGAAGCACCGGCUAACUCCGUGCCAGCAGCCGCGGUAAUACGGAGGGUGCGAGCGUUAAUCGGAAUUACUGGGCGUAAAGCGCGCGUAGGCGGUUUGUUAAGUCAGCUGUGAAAGCCCCGGGCUCAACCUGGGAACUGCAGUUGAUACUGGCCGACUAGAGUAUGAAAGAGGGAGGUAGAAUUCCAUGUGUAGCGGUGAAAUGCGUAGAUAUAUGGAGGAAUACCAGUGGCGAAGGCGGCCUCCUGGUUCAAUACUGACGCUGAGGUGCGAAAGCGUGGGGAUCAAACAGGAUUAGAUACCCUGGUAGUCCACGCCGUAAACGAUGUCUACUA